GCUGGCUCUCGGGGUCUGAGCGCGGCCAGCGCGCGGGCGCUGGCGGGCUCUCGUCCUCGAAGGCCAAGCGGCAGAGAGACGGCCCGACGGCGGUGGCUGCGGCAGCUGGGGGCGCGGGCGGCGACGGGAAGCCAGGAUCCCGGAGAGCCAAAGGCGCUCCAACAUCUCGAUCUCAUCUGAGGGAGAGAGAUCAGAGGUCACCUGCCAUAAGUACCCUCUGAAGAUCCUCCCUUCUGAUAAAGCCCUGCGCACAGCCGCACCGUCCCCCAGGAACUGCAGCAGCGCCAGGUCGAUGGGCCGCUUCCAGCGGGAGCCCUUGUGCAGGGCGAUGCCAUAGCCUGUCGUGGCAAAGACCUUGCCGGAGCCGAUGGUAAC